rnacentral:rRNA from 1 species
AGGGCGCCACCAGGAGUGGAGCCUGCGGCUUAAUUUGACUCAACACGGGAAAACUCACCCGGCCCGGACACCGUAAGGAUUGACAGACUGAGAGCUCUUUCUUAAUUCGGUGGGUGGUGGUGCAUGGCCGUUCUUAGUUGGUGGAGCGAUUUGUCUGGUUAAUUCCGAUAACGAACGAGACUCUGGCCUAUUAAAUAGACGAUAUAUCUAUCUAGUAUAUCGCGCUUCUUAGAGGGACAAGCGGCGUCCAGCCGCAUGAAAUAGAGCAAUAACAGUUUUUGUUUAUGCCCUUAGAUGUCCGGGGCUGCACGCGCGCUACACUGAAAGAAUCAGCGUGCGUUUUACCUAGUUCGGAAGAACCGGGUAACCCAAGUAAAUUCUCUCGUGCUUGGGAUAGGGAAUUUGCAAUUAUUUCCCUUGAACGAGGAAUUCCCAGUAAAUGCGGGUCAUAAGCUCGCGUUGAUUACGUCCCUGCCCUUUGUACACACCGCCCGUCGCUACUACCGAUUGGAUGACUUA